rnacentral:rRNA from 1 species
UGAGUGAGGGUCCCUCGGGGCCCAACCUCCCACCCGUGUAUACCGUACCUUGUUGCUUCGGCGGGCCCGCCGCGCAAGCGGCCGCCGGGGGGGCGUCAAACCCCCCUCCCUAGGCGAGCGCCCGCCGGAGACACCAACGUGAACACUGUCUGAAGUUUUGUUGUCUGAGUUCGAUUGUAUCGCAAUCAGUUAAAACUUUCAACAAUGGAUCUCUUGGUUCCGGCAUCGAUGAAGAACGCAGCGAAAUGCGAUAAUUAAUGUGAAUUGCAGAAUUCAGUGAAUCAUCGAGUCUUUGAACGCACAUUGCACCCCCUGGUAUUCCGGGGGGUAUGCCUGUCCGAGCGUCAUUGCUGCCCUCAAGCACGGCUUGUGUGUUGGGUCGUCGUCCCCCCCGGGGACGGGCCCGAAAGGCAGCGGCGGCACCGCGUCCGGUCCUCGAGCGUAUGGGGCUUUGUCACCCGCUCUUGUAGGCCCGGCCGGCGCUGGCCGACGCUGAAAAGCAACCAACUAUUUCUCCAGGUUGACCUCGGAUCAGGUAGGGAUACCCGCUGAACUUAAGCAUA